AGAAAUUAGGUCAUGUAUGUCUU
rnacentral:siRNA from 1 species